ensembl:lncRNA
CAGCGUGUGCGAGGACCCUGAGCCAGCACAGGAUGUGGCCGGUGAGGCACUAAAGGGUUUGCAGGCAGAGAAGUGCUGACUGGUGGGCCAGGGUGACACAGGUGUUCGGCGUGGUUGUGAAAUGUGUGGUUGUGACAUAGGUGUGGGGGGUGGUGGUGACACAGAUGUGCUUGUGACACAGGUAUGCCAUUUCUGCUCCUCUCCCUAGCAUGGUUCCCAGGAGGGUCUCCUGGCACCACUAACCCAGGCGGAGAGCCUUGUGGAGACGGAGUCGGUGCUGGCCUUGCCCCGCCCUGGGUGUCAGCCACCCUAAGCCAGGAGGGGCCCCGGGUGGGGCAGUGGAGACUGGGGGCAGAACCCUGUGCCUUUCUGCUGUGGGCCCAGCUGCAGUCCCCAUCACCUGGGAGGAUGGUGGGUGGGAAGCUGGCUCAUAAAGCCUCCUCAGGGGGUGGGAGUGUGAACUCUGGGAUUCAGAGCAUCCUGACCCCAGCGGUGUCAUUCCUGGAAGAAAGAUUCAGGGCUCAUCCUCUUGGGACAAGUGAAACCCACAUUUGGUCCCCCUCACCCCCAGCCCACUGGGCCACAGCAGCUUCCCUGCGGAUUCUAGGGAAGGGAGGGUCACUCCUGGGGAAGAGCUUAAGGCCUUCAUUUCACCUGUCUUCACCGCCCACUUUACAGACUAGGAAACUGAGGCUCAGAGAAGGGACGCGUUGGCUCAAAGCAGGGCCUGGAUGUCUGUGCAACGCCGUCCUUGCUGGGGAUGGGGCCAAGGACUUAGGCCUCCCCGGAGCUCGAGAUUUCACUCCCAGGAAACAAAACAAAGCUCUCCUUCACAAGAGAGCACAGUCUAGGAAACAUGGGAGGAAAGACAGCUUUGGAAAGCCAUCAGUGAAAGCUGCAGCCAUCACCCGCAGUGGCUGGGGACCAGGACGCACGGGGCGCCAAAGCAUCAGCCACAGGUGACUGCUUGGGUGUGCCGGGGCCUUUACAUGGGGACAUCUGGCCCCGUCAGUAUCAUGCAAGGCAGGUGAGCUGACACAGGACUCCACUUGAUGAGAUGCAAUAGGAAGGACACGCCUCACCUGGGGGUCUUCUCAAAACAUGUGGCCCAACCCAGGGGAGCCCACAGAGACACUGUUCAGCGUUCAGGACUCACAGAAGGAAGAGGAGGACACAGUCAAACCAGGCAGGGAGGGGCAAGCAGAGAGGAGGCUGCAGGGCACUCCACGGGACAUGCGACAGAAGACGGGAAAAGAAGAGAGCAAAGAAGAUGAAAGAGCAAAAGGGAGGGAAUGAUGCUAGGAGAAAAAGGACCUGAGACAAACCAACAGCAGGCGUGACCCUCGCUGGAUCCUGAAUCACAGGAAGCAGGCAUGGGACUUCCCUGGUAGUCCAGUGGUUAGGAAUCUGUCUGCCAAUGCAGGGGACAUGGGUUUGAUCCCUGGUCUGGAAAGAUCCCACAUGCUGCAGGGCAACUAAGCCAGUGAGCCACAGCUACUGAGCCCACACUCUGCAACGAGUCGCCACCGCAACGAGAAGCCAGCACACCACAACUGGAGAGUAGCCCCCACUUGCUGCAACUAGAGAAAGCCCGCCCAGCAACAAAGACCCAGCACAGCCAAAAAUACAAUAAACAAAUAAAAAUAAAAAAUAAAAAAAAAAAGGAAGCAGCCAGGAAAGCUUCUUAGGACAACUGGGAACCUUAAAUGUGGAUGAGGUAUUAGAUGAUGCCUUUGAAUUAUCACUGAUUUUCUUAGCCAUGGACACGACAGUCUGUGUGCAAGAAGGUCCACUUCUCUGGAGACGCCUGUGAGGUGUCUAAAAGCACCAUCCUAAGGUCAGCAGAAGGUACCAGUGGAAACCAACUGUGGAUGGCAGACCCUGCCGUGAACAGGGCUCAGCCCCUGCAGGUCCCAGGGGUAUUCAUCUCACCCCACUUUUAACCUUUCUCUGACGUUUGAAGUUCUCAUAAUAAAAAAGUUUUGAGGGGAAAUUUUUUUUUAAUGGAAAAUAAGUCUUUCCACAAAGAGCUGGGAAUUCACUAUAAAGAAACCACUGUUUGCUUCUUCGAAGUGGGUUUUGCUAAAAUGCCAGCCUCCAGCAUUUCUGAGAAAUUAGCACAAACUGUAGCAAAGAGGAAAUUCAGCACCUCUGAGUCGGGUAUGUAAAUUGAAUCAUGAAAAUCAGGGCUUUCGCUGCAUUUCUAAGAAAUGUCCUUUUUUGGAUACUCUUGCUUUUGUCUUCCCCUGGGACUCUCUCAGAGCGGGUUGGGCCUCCAGGCCUGGGGUGGGGGGCUGGGGGCGGGCAGCAGACAGUGCUGGGGAAGUGGUAGCCACCAGGCCCUGGGGGGCCGACCGACACCACUUUAGGGGCUGGGACCUCAGGGCCCAAACCUCAUACGCACAUGUGGACAGUGGAGCCAUCUCGCUGGAACAUUCCGUCUGGCUGAGUAAUUCCACCUAAGGAACUCAAGCCUUAGCCUGAGACACAGAAAAGGUAAAACACAUGUGCAAUGAAGACGGGACAUUUAGAACAGAGCCUGCAGAGCUAUUUUAUUUUCCCGGAUGAGCACAGAAGAGCUUAUCUAAAAAGACAAGGACUUGAUUGAUAGGAUGUAUUAGGUGGGGAAAGAACCCUGUUAACAGUGUUUAAUCUGCAAGAAAAAAAUAUGUGGGGAAUGACGAGGCAAAAUCCAUCACCUGGUGAAACGUGCAUCCAGGUUCUGCCGGAGGCCAAGGGGCCGGAUCAGCGCACUGGCCGUGGCAGAGCCUGCUGUCCUGCUUGGCAGGAGAGGCCCUUCCUGCACAGGUUCAGGUUACUCUUUACCAUAUUCUAUCUUAACUGUUUAAGGACACAGUGGAGUGGAACCAGCUCCAAACCCUGAGGUUACCCUGUCUUUGCUCCAGUUCUAGAACUCUCACGUCCCCUUGAUGGUGGAGCUUAAAAUUAGAAUCCUGAGUCUCCCCUGAGACACUGAGAAAGGGCUGCUUUCAGAAUGAGGAGCAGAAAUCUUGGCACCUGCUCUGAGGGCUCCUGGCGCAGGGAGAGUCACACGGAAGUGCAGUUCCUGCUUGGGGGGUGACAGUCCCUGCUGUGGGGAGUCACUCAGGGGGCAGUUCCUGCUGGGGGGGUA